AGGGCGUAUGGCGGAUGCCUAGGCUCUCGGAGGCGAAGAAGGACGUGAUAAGCUGCGAAAAGCUGCGGCGAGGAGCAAAUAUCCUGUGACCCGCAGAUCUCCGAAUGGGGCAACCCGGCAGGACAACCUGUCAUCCCGGGAAACGGGAAGCAAACGUGGGGAACUGAAACAUCUCAUUACCCACAGGAAAAGAAAAUAACAAUGAUUCCGUCAGUAGUGGCGAGCGAAAGCGGAAGAGCCCAAACCGGUUCUGUUUCGGCAGAGCCGGGGUAGAAGGACUGCAUAGUACAAAGGAGCAGGUAGCCGAACGGUCUGGAAAGGCCGGUCAGAGACGGUGAUAACCCGGUAGGCGAAACCAGCGACGGCGUCAGCAGUAUCCUGAGUAGUGCGGGACACGAGAAAUCCUGUAUGAAUCGGCGGGGACCAUCCCGUAAGGCUAAAUACUCCCGAGAGACCGAUAGCGAACCAGUACUGUGAAGGAAAGGUGAAAAGAACCUCGAACAGAGGAGUGAAAAAGACCCUGAAACCAUACGCCUACAAGCGGUCGGAGCCCCUACGUGGGGUGACGGCGUGCCUUUUGCAUAAUGAACCUACGAGUUACUUUUGCCAGCCAGGUUAAUCGAUUCAGUCGAGGAGCCGAAGCGAAAGCGAGUCUUAAUAGGGCGUUAUAAGUUGGCAGGAGUAGACGCGAAACCAAGUGAUCUACCCAUGAGCAGGUUGAAGGUUAGGUAACACUAACUGGAGGACCGCACCGGUAAACGUUGAAAAGUUUUCGGAUGACUUGUGGGUAGGGGUGAAAGGCUAAUCAAACUUGGAGAUAGCUCGUACUCCCCGAAAUGCAUUUAGGUGCAGCCUUGACUUAUAUUUAAGAGGUAGAGCGACUGAUAAGAUGCGAGGGCUUCACCGCCUAUCAAGUCUUGAUAAACUCCGAAUGCUUAAAUAAGAAUCAGAGGAGUGAGGGCAUGGGUGCUAAGGUCCAUGUCCGAGAGGGAAAUAACCCAGACCACCAGCUAAGGUCCCGAAAUAACGGCUAAGUUGAAUUAACGAAGUAGAACUGCAGAGACAGCUAGGAUGUUGGCUUGGAAGCAGCCAUUCAUUUAAAGAGUGCGUAACAGCUCACUAGUCGAGGAGUUCUGCGUGGAUAAUAAUCGGGCAUAAGCCGUUUACCGAAGCUGUGGAAUCGGCAACGAUUGGUAGGGGAGCAUUCCAUGAGCCGCAGAAGGUUUUCCUUGAGGAAUGCUGGAGGUGAUGGAAAAGCAAAUGUAGGUAUAAGUAACGAUAAAGAGGGCGAGAACCCCUCUCGCCGAAAGACCAAGGGUUCCUGAUCAACGCUAAUCGGAUCAGGGUAAGUCGGGCCCUAAGGCGCAGCCGAACGGCGCAGCCGAUGGCAGAAACGGUUAAUAUUCCGUUACUAUGAUACGGAGUGACGAGGAGACGGAGAAGUGACACUCUCGCCUGCUGACGGAAUAGCAGGUUGAACGGUGUAGAUAAUGGCAUGGUAGGCAAAUCCGCCGUGACAGUCGAACCGGAAAGUACUGGGCGCCCCCGGGCAACCAGAUAGCAGAGGUAAUCAAGCUCCCGAGAAAAUCCCCUAAACAUAUGCGUAUCAUACCCGUACCCGAAACGGACACACGUGGUUGAGUAGAAAAUACUAAGGCGCUCGAGCGACUCACGGUUAAGGAACUAGGCAAAUUGACCCUGUAACUUCGGGACAAAGGGUCCCUACCCUUUUAGGCGGGAGGGCGCAGAGAAUAGGUCCAGGCAACUGUUUAACAAAAACACAGGGCUGUGCAAAAUUGUAAGAUGAAGUAUACAGCCUGACACCUGCCCGGUGCUGGAAGGUUAAGAGGAGAUGUCAUCGAUAAGAGAAGCGUUGAAUUGAAGCCCCAGUAAACGGCGGCCGUAACUAUAACGGUCCUAAGGUAGCGAAAUUCCUUGUCGGGUAAGUUCCGACCUGCACGAAUGGUGUAAUGAUCUGGACACUGUCUCAACCGUGAACUCGGUGAAAUUGUAGUAUCGGUGAAGAUGCCGAUUACCCGCAACGGGACGGAAAGACCCCGUGAACCUUUACUGCAACUUAACAUUGAAUUUGGGUAACUGAUGUGUAGGAUAGUCCGGAGACAGAGAAAUGGAUACGCCAGUAUUCAUGGAGUCACCCUUGAAAUACGGACCUUUGGUUAUUUGAGUUCUAACCCGUGGAAAAUGGGGACACUGUUUGGUGGGUAGUUUGACUGGGGUGGUCGCCUCCAAAAGCGUAACGGAGGCUUCUAAAGGUACCCUCAGGCCGAUUGGUAACCGGCCGAAGAGUGUAAUGGCACAAGGGUGCUUGACUGAGAGACCGACAAGUCGAUCAGGUAGGAAACUAGAGCAUAGUGA
rnacentral:rRNA from 1 species